ACAGUGGACUGGAGGAUUUUCUUUGCUCUCUGCAGGGUGUUGUCCUGUUGGUUUGACUUGGACCCUGUUGGUAGUGAAAAUGCAGGGUUGACUGUUUCUAAGAAAGGUAGAGGACUUGGGUUAAAUCCUUCUCUCCAUUUCAGGCUCUCUGCUGCCAGUAGGGAUGAGAAGGCUUGUGCUCCUGAGGGAGGACCUUUCAUCUCCAGGAGUGGAGCGCAGAUGGGGCCGGUCUCUUUCCGUGAAGGUCUACUGGAGGAGUAGGGAGCUUGUUCCAAGUCUGAAUGUCAUUGACAUCAGAUGAUCCAGGUUUGACUACAAUGUGUACACUAGCUACAUGGGUAAAGUUUUCAUUGGGUGCAGUACAUGCACCCGGAUACUCUGGGUUUACGUACAAUUGUGUAGACUGUUGUAUGGUGUAUAUUGGGCAGAUGACUUUUGGCAUGUGCAUGGGACAUGUAGCAUAGUGUGUAAACUCCUAUUACUCUUGGCUAUUUUUUUGGACUUGAAAGACGGUUAUCAGGUUAGAGAUGCAGGACAAUCUGAAAGCCAUGCCUUAUCUUUAGUUUACUGCAUGGAGAACUGAGUCUUUGAUUUUGAAACCAAUUUUAACUUGCAGUCUGUUAGUUGUCAUCUUCAGUAUUCAAGCCAGUGUUUUGAUACAAGAAUUUCUGGAGUAAGCAAACUAGAGACCAGGUCAGGGAGAGACCAGUAUUUAAGGUUGGUUAUGUUGAAGUGUUUGCAUUUGAGAUGGCUCCACCAGGAAUUUAAGGAUCUGUGUAGUGAUUAAAUACUUUUUACACUGUAUUCCAAUGAGCAGGUGACAGCUGUCAGACUGGGGAGUAGGGAGCAUUACUGCUGGUGAACUUGGGCUGUGCCGAGUGAACAAUGUGAGCUGAAGGUAAGAAAAGGGGAGAUUCAGGUCAGUGUGAGGAGAGCUUUUAAAGUUGGGAGCAGUCUGCACAGCACAUCCUGGUCCCCUCUGUGUGGAGGAUGGGAGUGGUUAGUCUUGCUUCUUUUACAGUGGUUGACGAUAGGAUGCUAUUGAGGUUUCUAGCUCCUGGUCUCAAGAGAAGAGUGGUAUCCUGGUUAUUUGUUCACAGAACAGCCUCUCAAUGUGGCUAGACCACAGUGGUGCUGAGGGGUACGAGUGACUCUAGAAUGUUUUUUUAUUUAGAGUGGAAUGCUCCGAUUGGCGCUCCCCAGUCCCUGCCCACCUGAAUGCAAACAGUGCUGAUGGACGUCUUGUUUGGAGAUGAGAAUCCAUUGAACAGUAUUGGCCGUCUGAAUGGAUAUCGUGAAUGUUUUGUGAAUAUUGAACACGUGGGGAGGUUGUGGAGAACAUUGUCCACUCAUUGAGUUUUGGCACUUUGCAUCUUGGGACUGUGGUUCUCUACCCUUUCCCAAAACAGACAAUGGAAAUAUCAAACUAUAGUGUUUGAUUUAAAAGUAUCUUGUUUAUAUGGAGUCGAGUUUAAGUGUCUUAUCUAGCAAAUUCCAAAUGCAAUGCCUUUUCAGUUUUAUACUAGGCUUAGUUUUGGGAUUCACUGGGCAAGUUGAGCUUCCUGUUGAACUGUAGGCUUUUUUACUGUAGGUGUUUGUUUUGGUGAUGUUUCUUGCUUAAGCAAUUGUAGCACCAGCAGCCUCCUCCUCUUGAGACUCCUUGGAGAUGGGUUCAAACAGUGAAAUACCAUGUCGGGAGACCUAGUCAGAUCAGUGAAUUCCUCACCACUCAAGAGUAGACACUGCAGCUGUGGGCUUGAACCACCUUCAAAGGUAGGAGAGGCUUUCUUUUCCGACUGCUGCUCUGCACACCAGCCUUUUGAUGGCUGUUCCCAGGAGCACCUGAGCCACCUGGCUGGUUGAGCCAAAGUUGACUUUGGUCUAGGUAAGAGGAGACUCUGAUUAUGUAGCCUGCAGCUGCUGGGGUGCUUUGUUGGUUUUUUAGCCUUAAUGAUAGUGUCACUGUAGCAUAAGUACUGGUUAAUCAGGGGAAGGAAGUCAAACACUGAAAGUGUUGUGCAAGCACUGGGGAGGAUUUGGCAAAAUUGUUUAUGGUAUGACUGGAAAAUUAGAGAAUUGUCAGUAUGUAAGAUUUAUUUCAUGGGUGCACACAUGUAUCUAAAUCUUACAUUGGAAAUUUUAAAGUGAAUUGAGUAAACUAAGCUGAGUAUGGCAUCUUCCUGAUUACCCACUGAGACUGUGUUCUGUGAAUGUCCACCACAAUCAAUCCUGUCAGAGGUUUAGUGCACAAAGGAGUGAGUUUCCAGCUGAUUUGGAAGUGGUUGUGUACUGUGCCUUGUGAGGGAGAGAGCUGCAUGAAGACUGUCUGAGGACUUUCUUAUACUGGAUGUGUACUUUAACCAAUGAGCACAAACUGUUAUUGGUGUAAAACUGACUGUGAAGCUUGGUUAAGUGGUUCUGUUGAUCUUUCAGAAAGCCUUUUUAAAGGUGCUUCUAGUCACUGGGGAACGUGAGUCUUAGUUUGACCAUGGGUUCAUCGGUAUGUGUUCAAAGUGUUAUCUCCAUGAUAGUCGAGUGCAUGAUGCAGCUCAAAGACUUCAGUCCACUUGGUGCCCUAUCAAUCAGUUUCGAGUACUGCAUGCUUUUGUUUCAGUUUAAAGUGUUUAAGCUCUAAAGCCUUCUCACCUCAGUUAAGGCUGUAGCUGUUUGGUACUGAAGAUGGAGAGUGUUUUGAUUUCAUACUGCUGUGGAUCCUUGGUGUUUCUGAUUUUUUUUUUUUUUGCAAAACCAGAAGCGGCUUGGCUCAAAUGAAGUUUAAGGCAAAGGUUCUGCUGCACUAGGUAUACACUUCUAGGGUCUCUUUAAAAAGACUGAAUUUCAAGUAGUAUUUUAUUUGGAUAUGCAACUUUGUAUGCAUAAUCAAUUCUGUUUUUUGGUAGUGGUGGUUGAAUUUUAAGGAUGGGUUGUGCUUGAAUGUGCAAUAUGUCUACAUGAACUACUGUAAAUAGGUUUGGUAACAUGUAUCUUGGUCAGUUGGUUAAGCUAAAGGUUUUUAGUUUGGUUCUCAAAUUUUCUACCUUUUGUCUUUUGACGGAUUUGAAUAGUUUUCAUUUCUGGUUUCAGCUAGUAUCCAAGCUAAUCUCAAGUGAGGCAACAGCAUCUAAGUCCAGCGUGAGAACUGGCCUGGGGUAUUGCAACAAGAUCCAGAACCGUCAAUGUUAGUGGUGUCUGUAUCCAUGACGCCAUGUUGCAUGAUGGUCCAGCUCAGAAGAGAGGAGGCUAGCUUCGUCCUGAGUGAGGUGAUCCACCUGCUUCAAGUUCUCAUCUACAGGAAGUCCCGAGCCUCUGAAUAAGGUGGAAAGAGUGGUGGGUAAACAAUCAUCGUACUGGCUGAUGUUCUUGGGCCGUAACCCUCAUCUUCAGUGUGGAUGUUAUUUGCUCUCACUCUAAUCGGUGCACUCUUGAGGCCUAGGUAUAGGUGGGUUUGAAGGUAAGUAGAGGAGGUGGAAGUUUAGCUGUUUUUCCUGAGAUGGGUCAGCAGUGAUGCAGAUCUGUGCAUUUGAUUAUAGUUCAAUCAGUGCUCUGCAUUUCCUGGCCAGCUGAAUGCACAGUGCAGUGACAGGCUUGGAGAACCCUGCUCAGAGGAAGCUCACUGGAUAUCAGCUGUGUGACCGGUUGAUGCCCAUUGGUAAGUAAUGAAGUCUGUGGUUUGAACAGUAGAAAGUGAAGAGGUGCUGCAAGCAGUCCUUGAAGUUCCUGGACGCACAUGGAUCUUGGAGCAGGUGCAAGGGUGGUGUAAUAGAGAACAUGUCCCUGGAGCAGAGGUGAGUUUCACUUUCCCGUCUAACCUUAGCCAUAGCAAACUUGAUGCUAUAUAACCAUUUAGUGUUUAGUUUUUGGACCAAUUCUGGUGGAUAAUGCCAGACUUUAACAUGCUGAAUACUUACACUAUGUUUCUAGAGGUGAAGCUUUUUUCUGGGUAAUUUUUCCUCCCUGCUUGGUUGGGGCAUUUUCUAUACUAAUGUGCACUUGACUGGCUGUCCAUUCUGGCUCUGUAAGACAAUUACUGCUUUGCAUCUGAUUUAUUUCAUGGGUGCACACAUGUAAAUAAAUCAGUUUAGAUGCACAGUAGUACAAUGUUGAUGUGGCACACCAACAGCCUCCUCUACUGUAGACUCCUUGCCGGUUACAGCAUAUCGACCAGGUACUCGUGAUGGGUGUUGGCACAGGAACUUCUCUCCUCACAGGGAAGGAACUGCACUGGAUCCCUCCCCUGUGGCAAGAGCCCUUGACUGGGGGUUUUCUCUUGGCUCUCUGCAGGGUGUUUUCCUGUUUUAUCCUGGACAGAUGCUGCACCAUAAACACUUUACAAGUUUAGUACAAAACUGGGAGUAAAUGUUCUUGUGGUUUUCCAAGUGCAGAGGAUCAUGCCAAAACUGUCUACUAGGUUUUAUGCUGCCGGAAGGGUUGACCAGAUCUUUGCUCCCAGACGGAUGACCUUUCAUCACCAGGAGUGGAGUACAGAUGGGGCUGGUCUCUGGGAUCUUUAGCAAUAUCUGCUGGAGGAAUGGGGUGCUUGUUCAAAGGCUGAAAGUCAAUGGUAACAUCAGAGGAUCUAGUGGGUGUAGCGAGUCUUUCUACCCAGUAAGAGAGAUGGUUCAUCUUGAGAAUACUGGUUACAAGGGGUACUUCAUUUUUCAUUGGGUACAUUUGGGUACUCUGGCUAUGUUGGUUCAUUUGGCUACAUAGAGUAUAUUGGGCAGGCAACCUUUGGCAUGUGCAUAGGAGUUGCAGCAAUGGUGUAGUACAUGGUAGAUUCAACUUUUUCUUUUGCCUACUUAGUUUUGCACUUACAGUGGACUUGAAAGACCCUAAUAUCUGGGUUGGAGGAAUGUGGGACAAUAUGAAAGCCUUGUUGUCUUUAGUUCAUUUCAUGGAGAACUGAGUAUUUGAUAGUCUUUAAUUUUAACUGAUCUUGGAAGAGAAGCAAGAACAAUUUGGGUUUUGUAUCUUUGGGUCAGUGAGAUGAGUAUUUGAGGUUGGGUUCAGUUGUGAUCACAGUUAAAGGAAGGAUUAAGCUGAUAAAUUUUUUACACUACAUGCAUAUUCCAGUGACCUGGCGACACCUGUCAGAUGUAGUAAUUCAAAAGGGUCAUGAGCUUCCCUGGAAGUUGGCUGUCGGUAGUAUAAAGGGAGAUGAAGGCUGCCUUCUUACUGAACUUGAUUUGUUUUCAUUGGUUUCAUUGUUUGCAGAUGUAUCAGUCCCUCACCUCAUGUGAGUGUGAUGCCAACCUACAAGAUUGCCCAGCUCUGGGACAAGGAGCCUGCAUUUGGUCAGCUGAAGUUAAGGUGCUGUUUUCCCAGAUCUGUCUCCGUGGGGAGCAAGGAGUGCUACUGCUUGGGGAAGUGGACUUGGGCUUCCCUCAGUGAACAAGUUGGUGCACUGAGAGGCAGCUGUCAGAGUUGGGAUGGUUUUCAGCCCCUGGUCUCAAGAGAAGAGUUGGAAUGCCAUGAUGGGUGCUCCCCAGUCCCUUCCCACCUGAAUGCAGACAUGGAACAGUAUUGGCUGUCUGAAAGGCAUCAGGAGUGUGAUCCAAUUCCUUUCUGUGAGUAUUGAAGUCCUGCAGAUGGAACACCAGAAAGCAAGGAGGGGUUUGAAGCUGCCCUUGCUGAAUCUGCUGGGUAGCUGUGGAUGUAGGAACACAUGCAAAGGUAGUCAUGCAGGGCAUUGGUGAGUUGUCAUUUUUAGUUUCUGUUCUUUGAUUUGGGAAAGUGUAGAGAUGUUCAAGUUGGUCAUUAUACUCAUAUAGAGGUAUAUGGUGUAAAAUGCUAUAUAACUAUCCUCGGAUGGUAAGUAGUACAAAAAAGAAGCGAUGUGCAAAAUCAUGCAUCAACAAUGAAAUAAAGGAUCUAAAGUUAUGGGGAGUGAGGUUGAGGUAGAUUUCAAUGUGUGUUUGAGCUUUAAGAGAAGGUACAGUGAGGGUUCAGAUCAUGGGUGAGAGGCUGGCAGUUUAAUAGUGUGGGGGUAAAAACUGAGUUUGGUAAUCUGGGCCUGAGUGCUCCAGUACCGAUUUCUGGAUGGUAGAAGGUCAAACGCUCUUCUUGCUUGGGUGUGUGGAGUCUUUGCUUGGAGCUUUCCUCAAGCACAGUCUGUCAUAGAUGGACUGGGCAGUUUUCACCACCUGCUGUAGGGCUUUGUGGUCGGCAACACUGCAGAUGCAACCUGUUAGUGUACUGUCUGUUGUGCAUCUGUAUAAGUUGGUGAGGUUCUGGGGACAUCUUGGCCUUCUUCAACUGUCUUUGGAAAUACAGGCUCUGUUGUGCUUUCUUAAUCAGAUAAGUGGACAAUGGACUUGGCACACACCCCUGGGGAACCCCAGUGUUCCGAGUUUGUGUGCUGGAGGUGUGGUUUCCAAGCCUGACAGCCUGUGGUCUGCCUGUCAAAGUCCCAAAUCCCAUUGCAGAGGAUGGUAUUGAGACCCAGUGUACCGAGUUUUUUUUUCUGGAAUGAUGUUAAAAGUGGAGCUGAAGUUGGUGAAUGUUUUUCUUUUUUUUUUUUUUUAAUCCAGAUGGGAUAGGGCAGUGUGUAUGGCAAUGAAGACUGUCAUCUGUGGAUCUGUUGGUACGGGUCUAGUGUUGGAAUUGUUUCCUUAAUGUGCCCCAUGACCAGCCCUUGAAGCACUUUACCAUUAUGGUUGUCAGCGCCACCGUGUGGUAGUCAUUAAGGCCUGUUACUGUGGUUUUCUUUGGUAUUGGGAUGGUGGUUGUCUUGAAGCAGGUUGGGACUACAGCUUGGCCCCAAGACAUGCUGAAAAUGUCUGAAUACACUUGGCAGUUGAUUGGUUUAGGUUCUGAGCAUGGAACUGGGAAUGAUAUUGGGCCUUGUGCACAUUCACUUUUAGCAGAGAUCUCCUCCACAUUUGCAGAGAGUGAGAGCACCUGGUCGGUUGUGGAGGGUGCAGUUCUGUUGAGUGGAUUCGAACUGACUGUAAAAGGUGUUGAGCUUGUUGUGCAGGGAGGCAUCAUGGGCAGGUGCACAGAUGUUUUCUUUCGUAGUCUAUACCGUCCCACGUGUGUUGGGUCAUGAGUGCUGAAGUGUUCCUCUAAUUUUUGUUUAAGUGUUUUUUGCAUGUUUAAUACCUUUCUUUAGAUUGAUCCCGGCUGACUUGAGUUUUGAUUUAUUCCUUAAUUUGAAUGUUCCAUACCUAGCUUUGAUUAGGUUGUGAACCUCUAUGGUUUCGGUUUAAAAAAGGUUCACUUCUUUUGAGUGUUCCACUUCCAGCACGUCUUGAUGUUGCUAGUGACUAAUGCAUUUUCCUGUACGUCUGUGUGUGAUCCCUGUGUGGCUGCCAUUCUGACUGCUAGUUUUGCUUGCCUGCACAGUUUACUGUAUGUGGGGAGGAGAGACUGAUGUGAGCAGUGUAUAGUACUUCUAGUGCUUCCUUGUCAUUUGAGCUGGGGGGGGAAUGUAGAUGGUGAUAAACUGUAAAUGCUCUCAGCAGAUUAUUGAAACUCUAGAGUGGCUGAGCAGUGUUUUGUGAUGGUAGAUGCGUUGUUGCACCACACAUUAAUAAAAAUGCAUACGUCCUCGCCUCUGGUUUUACCAGACUCUGCAGUUCUGUCCAUGUGGAAGGCAGAAAACCUGUCUAGGUGCAUCGCCUAAUUCUGUCAGUCAUGUUUUGGUGAAUACAUGAGUACACUAGUUGUCAAUUUCAGCUGUGACUCUGGAAAGCUACUGGCUCUUUUAUAAUUAGGAAACAAGUUUAUACAAAAUGUUUAAAUGCCUUUUCAAUUUUGGAUGUGGCUUAUGUUUGUGACUUUGUGGCCAAUUUAAGCUUCCUUAAGUUCAACAGACUAAAAGUGAUAAAUGUAACUGAUGGUCUAUUAUUCUUGGUAAUAGUUGUCUUUCUUGGUGAUUCAUUGUUUCACUUCACUGGCUGUCUUUCUGGCUUUGAAAGAUUUAUUUCAUGGGUGCGUAUCGAAGUAAAUCACUGCAAUAUAAGAGACUUGGCACACCAGCAGACUCCUUGUCAUGUCAGCCAGGUUCUGCUGAUGGGUGGUGGCACAGGCACUGCACCUGAGCCCUGGACUAGCAGUUAUCCUGUUGGCUUGUCUUGAAUGAACAAAGUUGGCUGUGGAAAUGUCUUGAAUGUUUCUAAAACGUGCAGAGGAUCAAGUCUAAAUCUCCACCUGAGUAACUUGCAGAUGUGGUACACUCUAGACUAGGAUUGCAGCUGGGGUUCAUUGUAAGGAUUAAGUUGCCCUAAAACCAAAAUGUUUUCAUUAAAAGUAAGGUUGUCUGUUUUAGUGUAGAAAGGGGAGGGAUGAGUUUCCACCUGUCUGGAAGUGGAUGUGUGCUGUGCUUUGUGAAAAAGGAGGGCUGCUUGAAAACUAAUGCUUUUGUUAGAGGACUCUCGUUUUUCUUUUAAACAAUUGCAACUGCAUGUUGUUCCAUGUACAAGUUUGGUACUGAUGUAUAAUAUACAAAAUGGUGUGUAGUUUUGCCCUGUGUAUCCUGUACAGCAGUCAAGACAGAGGAGAUGUGGCUGUAAAAGUGUGUACUCAGGGAAAGUGGUUGCUGAACCUUUGUUUUCAGAAGAGUUUCUAGUCACUGGGGAAUGUGAGGUUUGGUUUUAUGAAGGGUUUGAUCUGUAUGUGUACAGGCUGUAAUCUCCCUGCAGGUAGAAUGCAUGUAGUGGCUCGAAGGUUUAAAUCCAUUGGUUGUGGCCCAUCACUAGGUUGUGAGUUAUUUUUGCUUUGGAGUUUCAGUUUUAAAUGUUUAAGCUUGAAAACCUUUUCAGUCCAGGCUGCAGUUCUUUGGUACUGAAUAUGGUCAGUGUUUUCUCGUUCUACUGUGGAUCUCAAGGGUAUUGGGGCACCUUGAAUUGUUCUUUAUGUAAAACCAAAAUUUUAAUUUGGUCUUUAAAAGGCACAUUACUGCAUGUCUAGGUCUGCGUUAAAGCCCGAAUUUCAACCUCUACCUGAUUGGAUGUACGACUGAGAAUUUGACUUAAUACCAGGGUAAUUUUAUUAAAAAGAGGGAUUUGUUUGACUGUCUUGUCUACAUGGAAUACAACAAUAAAUGGAUUUGGUCAUCCUUGUUUACCUGGGUUUUUGGACAGUAGAAUCUAAGCUAGAAGCUUUUAGCUUAAUUUUGAGGGAGGAGUUGAGCUGGUCGCUUAUGUUUGCAGAUGGAUGCACCUGGGAUCUGAAGUACUUGAAUGCUUUGUUUUGUACUGUAUGCGAGUUGGUGACAAUUAAGAUGGAGUUUUGAACUGAAUCCAGAGAUUCUUUGGAUAUCUUCUAUUGAAAGAGCAGAACUACAAAGAAGCUGAUAGUUGUCUUUUUGGUUACUGCCUGAAUUGCUGAACUUGUUUGCUGUGUGAUGGAGAGUUUGCAGGAGUUACUGUCUUUUAACACAUGGGUACAUGACACCAUGCUGUUGAUGGGGAGCUCAGUGGCUGGCUAAAAGGAUACAUUUGAUUUGAUGCAAGUAUUAAAGUCCUGCGCUUUUAACAAUGGAGAGUGAAGAGAUGUUUUGCAGGUUAUCCUUAAAAUUCCUGGAUGCCUAUGGAUCUUGGAGCAGUUGUGAAGCAAGUAUCUAGGAGGAUUGUGUUCCUGGAGCAGUGGCUCUGUGCUACCAGACGAGAUGAGCAGGAUUGUGCUUCAGAGGGAGGAUCUUUAAUGACCAAAUCUGCAGCACAGAUGGGGUUGGGCUCUGGGAUGUUUGUGAAGAUCUGCCAGAGGAGUGGGGUGCAAGUUAAAAGCAGCAUCAGAGGAUCGAGACGGCUGAAGACCUAGGUGGACAAGCAAAUUGAUCUAUGUCCUUGGUUCUCUGCUGUCCGGGGGGCUGACCAGGCCUUUGCUGCUGAGAGAGGACCUUUUAACAGGAUGGGAGCCCAGAUGCAGCGGACUGAGAUCUGUCUGCGAAGAUUUGCCGGAAGACUCGUGGGCCCGUUUUUGAUUUCAGAAGACAACGGCCACAGAGGAGCAUUGAAAAUGCUGUACAAGUUCCUAAUGACAAGUGAAGAAUGAGGGGGAGGCCUUUUGUAGGGUGGAAAGAGGUUCAGGUGGUACAUGAACCUAAAAUGAAUCUCUGCAUGCUGGUCUUGUAAUGGCUGUUUGGCUCUUGGAUUGUAACUUUAGCACCUGAGCCACCUGGCAAGGAGGAGACAAAGUAACUUCCGGUGUGGGAAUGGAGAAAGUAUAUUUUGUUACUUGGUAACCAUUUUUGUAAAUUAUGGGCCAUUUGAAAAGCAGAGUUUGAGAGUCUAAGGUCAAGCAAUGAUUUAUUUGCAUGGGUGCACACAUGUACAUAAAUCUUGCAUUGGCUUUAGAGUAAAACUGAAUUGAGCCCCUAAAGUAGAAAUGAAUAAAAGGAGUAGUUAUGCCAUCCACUCGUUUGGGGGAAAAAAGGCAUUGGUUUAGCUGAGAGUUGCUCUUUUUUCAUACCUGCACAGAAAGCACUUUUGUCAUGGGGGGGAUUGUGUUCUGUUUUGUGGAUUUGUAAGUACUUUGCUAGACAAUGUUCUCCUGUAUUGAAUGUAUUUUUGUUUGUAUGGCAUCAUAAUAAAACUUACUAAAUGUACCAAAUCUGUUCUUGUUUCUU